AGGAGCUUGCUCCUUGGGUGACGAGUGGCGGACGGGUGAGUAAUGUCUGGGAAACUGCCCGAUGGAGGGGGAUAACUACUGGAAACGGUAGCUAAUACCGCAUAACGUCGCAAGACCAAAGAGGGGGACCUUCGGGCCUCUUGCCAUCGGAUGUGCCCAGAUGGGAUUAGCUAGUAGGUGGGGUAACGGCUCACCUAGGCGACGAUCCCUAGCUGGUCUGAGAGGAUGACCAGCCACACUGGAACUGAGACACGGUCCAGACUCCUACGGGAGGCAGCAGUGGGGAAUAUUGCACAAUGGGCGCAAGCCUGAUGCAGCCAUGCCGCGUGUAUGAAGAAGGCCUUCGGGUUGUAAAGUACUUUCAGCGAGGAGGAAGGCGUUGUGGUUAAUAACCGCAACGAUUGACGUUACUCGCAGAAGAAGCACCGGCUAACUCCGUGCCAGCAGCCGCGGUAAUACGGAGGGUGCAAGCGUUAAUCGGAAUUACUGGGCGUAAAGCGCACGCAGGCGGUCUGUCAAGUCGGAUGUGAAAUCCCCGGGCUCAACCUGGGAACUGCAUCCGAAACUGGCAGGCUAGAGUCUUGUAGAGGGGGGUAGAAUUCCAGGUGUAGCGGUGAAAUGCGUAGAGAUCUGGAGGAAUACCGGUGGCGAAGGCGGCCCCCUGGACAAAGACUGACGCUCAGGUGCGAAAAGCGUGGGGAGCAAACAGGAUUA
rnacentral:rRNA from 1 species